rnacentral:rRNA from 1 species
UACGAAGGGUGCAAGCGUUACUCGGAAUUACUGGGCGUAAAGCGUGCGUAGGUGGUGGUUUAAGUCUGCUGUGAAAGCCCUGGGCUCAACCUGGGAAUUGCAGUGGAUACUGGAUCACUAGAGUGUGGUAGAGGGAUGCGGAAUUUCUGGUGUAGCAGUGAAAUGCGUAGAGAUCAGAAGGAACAUCCGUGGCGAAGGCGGCAUCCUGGGCCAACACUGACACUGAGGCACGAAAGCGUGGGGAGCAAACAGGAUUAGAUACCCUGGUAGUCCACGCCCUAAACGAUGCGAACUGGAUGUUGGGUGCAACUUGGCACCCAGUAUCGAAGCUAACGCGUUAAGUUCGCCGCCUGGGGAGUACGGUCGCAAGACUGAA